rnacentral:lncRNA from 1 species
CAGUCAACAGGCACUUACUGAAUUCUUCUAGAUACUAGGAUCCAGCUGGAAGAAAAUGUCCUCCACUGUAUCCAACAACUGUUUCAUUAUUAUUGACAACGAAAUAAACACACACACAUACAAACUUGUGUGACUUACAUGGGGAGGAAAAGUUUGUGUUGUCCUUUGUAAGCCCAAGUGAAUCUACACCAUUUUUAUAGUGCUAGCUUGGUUAAUUGUAAUGAGAUCAGAUAAGUCAUAGAUAAUGGGAUAAAUAAGACGAGAUUUAUGGUAAACCAAAUUGUCCAUAACAAAGGUACGAUAGGUAAAUUCAGUUUUCUACAGCAAAAAUUUGAACAAGUGUCACAGCCUCUAAGUUAAGGGUUCUGUAACAGGAAAUCAUUGAAGCUGCAAUAGAAUUUCACAAGAACGUUUGUGGCAAACAACCCAAUUUUAUAAUUUGGCUUCAAAGAACCUUCACUCCAUCUUGGCUAAGAUUUAUGUUUUUUGGUGUCUUCCGGACUUACUCUGGGCUUGUAUUCUCAAAUAUGUGUGAUAAUAAUAGUAUCUUCAUCUUCUUGAAGUUCCUUAACCAUUUUUGAAAUAUGUAGCCUCUGAUUUCAACUAUAAUCUUAAUCAAGUUGAAUCAAGGCCCCUAAGUUUAUAAUUUUCUGUUUUUAUGCAGAUGUGACACCGAUGGCCAAGGUUGCUGACCUAAAGGAGCUUACACUCUUGCAGCAAAGAGAACUGAUGAGAAUGUAGCUAAAUCCCUAAGUCCACGGGAGCAGUGCCUCCACCAUGCCAGCAAGCCACUCCAGUAUUCUUGCUUGGAGAAUCCAUGGACAGAGGAGCCUGGUGGNNNGCCGUCUCUGGGGUUGCACAGAGUCGGACACGACUGAAGUGACUUAGCAUGCACACACUCUUCGAGCACAUCUUCACAUAUGAAAGAUUUUCUAGUAUCAUUUUGUGAUAGACAACAGAAGGAUGGUGCUAUGGAUUUAAUGUUUGUGUGCCCUUCUCACAGAUUCAGAUGUUGAAAUCUAAUCAUCAUGGUCUUGGUAUUUGGAGGUGGGGCUUUUGGGAGGUAAUUGGGUCAGGAGUGCAGAGCCAUCAACAUUGAGGCAAGACCAGCCACAAGAUUACCAGCAAGAAGAUUACCACUCACUAAAGGCUCAGAUAAUGGUUAGCAUUUUUCAAUAAAGUAUUUUUUAUUAAGAUAUGUGUGUUGUUUCUUUAGACUUAAUGCUAUUGUAUGUUUAAUAGACUACCUUAUAGUGUAAACAACUUAUAUAUAUGUACUGCUGCUGCUGCUGCUAAGUCGCUUCAGUCACGUCCGACUCUGUGCGAUCCCAUA